rnacentral:rRNA from 1 species
UAGGGAAUCUUCCACAAUGGGCGCAAGCCUGAUGGAGCAACACCGCGUGAGUGAAGAAGGGUUUCGGCUCGUAAAACUCUGUUGUUAAGAAGAACAUAUCUGAGAGUAACUGUUCAGGUAUUGACGGUAUUUAACCAGAAAGCCACGGCUAACUACGUACCAG